GUCUUGCAGAUGAUCUUGGUGCAGAGGCUCUGAUGAUAGAGGCAUUGGAAAAAAUUGAAAAGGAUUUAAAAAAACCUCUACUGAGAAAUGACAAGAAGGGAAUGGACCUUCUACUGGCAGAGUUUGAUAAGAUUAACAAGAAGUAAGUUCAUACCUCUACAUUUCUUUUUGAUAUGUUGGGCUAGUAUUGAGUUACAUCUAGAUUGUAGCCUUCCAAUGUUUCAUCUAUACUUAUAAUAUCACAUUUAUAUUGUUGUGGAUUGUGAGCAUGAGAUUCUCUCCAUAAAUAAUUCUGUGGUGAUUUUGUAAUAGAUAAUUUUCUGUUUGAGGCAUUUAUGAUCCAUAAAUCUCAUUGAAUUAGAAAAUUACUUUUUCAAUUAACACCGUAGAGGGGAAAGUUUUUUGUGAUUAGUAUAGAAGAAAAAAAUAUUUAACCUUUUGUAUCAUGUUGAUACUUCUUAGGGAUUUGUUUAGUCUAUAUCUUGUUGUUUGCCAAUUAACAUGCUUCUUCGGCUGGUUUUAAAUUCCUCGUUUAUUAGUGAGGAUUCUGAAGUUUGUAUACCUCUUAAGUUGAACAGAAUGAGUAAUUGGGUUGUGAUUACUUCCCAUUUCUCUUUUCCUCUUUCCUUUUUAACACCGUUGGUGUUGCCACCAGACUUGGAAUUCAGAAAGAAAAUCUACCAAAGUACGAAGAGAAGCUAGAACUUAGCAUUGCCAAAGCACAACUGGAGGAGCUGAAGAAGGAUGCUCUUGAGGCUAUUGAAACUCAAUCAAAGAGGUAUUGCACAUGACACCAUUUAUUACUACAUGUUUCUUUUUUUAUUCCCCCUCCAUUUUUUUGUUGCUUUACCCAGAACACCUUAGAUAUGCACAUAAUAGUUCUCGUUAUUUUGUACUCAACUUUUACUCAUAAGGUAGCAGUACAGAAUGCUAGUAUGCCACAAUUGUUAUUUUUUAUGUAUGAAUAUGAGAUGGUGACUAAUUAUUGCUUACAGCCACAUGUGGAUAACUACUGCUAAAAAGGACUGUCCAAAACCUAAAUGUUAAAGCUACUAUUUUUUGUGUUCUUGUGCAGUAGGGUUAUAGUUGUUACAAUUUUUGAAAUUCAAUUUUCAUUAUUAAAUCAAAUGAAGAUUAGUCCAAUUUCUAGAAGAAGAUGAAGGGCAAAAAAAAUCACAGACAAAACAAUUAGGAAAGAUUUGUGAAGCUUUGUUUGUUGUAAUUUUCAUUGCCAUGUUUGUCAUUUUCAGGGAGGAAUUCAAGGAUGAGGGAACUGUUGAUGUCAAAUCUUUGGACAUCCGAAACUUCAUUUAAGAUCUUCUUCAUGAUGUUUGCGUAUAUUCAAAAUUAUUGCAUUUGGAUAAUGGUGAAAACCUUGUUUCUUCAAUAAAUGUACACCACUGAUUUGGAAGGGCAACACCAAUGCCAUUUUGAAGAGUUUUGAGUUUUCAAGGUUCUUUAUAUUCCAAAUUCCUUCUGAAAACUGGAAGUUAAAGCUAUCAAAAUUUUCUGAUUUUUGUGCUGUCAUGUUGUAUCUAAGUAUUUAUUCUUGCUGAGAUCUUAUGCAUGUUCCAGUUUUGAUAUUUUCCAUAUAUUAGUUGAACAUUGGUGAUUCCAGCAACUAUGUUCUUUCAAAGGAUUUUAUUUUAUUUUUAUCAGCAACUGAAGUUUCUUAAACCCAACAAUUAUGUUUGAUAACAUGAAUAAGCAAAUAUACCACACUUAGCUAUGGAUCCAAGCUCCAAGUGUAAACAUAUCUACUUAUGAGAUUAUUUCUAGGAUGCUCAAUUCUCAUAGGCUAAGUGGUCAUUCAUUUAUUCGCCAGAGUAAACACAUUAAGCAUAGUAAUCACAAUGAGAGAAGCUGUAAACGCAAAGUAUUUAUGAAAGUGAGCUAGUUUGAAAUAUAUUAUAAAUUCCCAAGAACUAAUGUUUAGCACCUUAAAAUUGUGGAGAUUAUCAUGAUGUUGAUGUGUUGCAUUCUUAUUUCAAAUGUGAAUUUUAACAAAUGUCUGAAACCGGGAUUUGAUUAAGACAUCCAAGAUAAAAAUUAUGUAUUAAAAUUUUGGAUAUUCUAUCAUGUUAGAAGUUCAAAACUGUGAUCUACAAUGUGUCUGUUUAGAUUAUCUAACAUUUUUUAAACCCCUAACAUAGUUUAUUAUAUUAAACAAUAUUGUGAAACCUGAGCCGGAUGUCAAACUGGCAGAUGUCCUGUAUUUGGUUUAACCAGUUUAAACGAUUAAACCGUCUGGUCUGACCGGGUGAUUAAGGCUUCAAAAACUAUGAUGGACUGAAUUUAAAGAAUAGUCCGAUGAGAGAAGGGCCCAACCCAGCCAUGUUGAUACGGGCCAUAGAAGUAGAGUAGCGAAUAAGGUGUGAGUGGGUGUAGCGUAACAUACGGUAGUUCCUUGUUGAAUCUGAAUAACAAAGAAGCCCUAGAGCGUUAGAAUUGAAUAUAGUAAAGUUCAACAGCAUAGAGAGAACGAACACCAACAACAACACUAAAACGUCUUCGUUUCAAUCUCAACAUGGCACUCACUACUCGUCUCUUUUCCAAAUCCAAAUUGGUCUCUCUCUCUCAUUUUUCCUCUUUUAUUAUUCAAUUUCAUUUUAUUCAUUCUCUGCCACUAUCUAGGGUUUGCUUCUCGUAUGCGAUUCAAUUUCUUUUUUACCUUCUCGUUUCUGAAUCUGUUGUCGUAUAUUGAGAUCUACAUAGACACUGUUUUCAUUUUACAUUUGAUUUUUAAGAAUCGAUUUCUGAUUACCUCUCUGAUUUUUUCUUAAAGAAUAUUUUUUUUGAAAAAGAGCGAGAUUUGUCGAUUGUUUUCAAUAAGAUAUCAUUUAAUAAUUUCAGUUUGGGCAAAAGUGGAGGGUACUGAUUUUAUUCAUUUUGGGCAGUCACAAUUUGUAAUUUUGGUUGAGAUAAGGCUACUCAAUACACUGGAUUUGUGAUCUAUCAUCAUAAUUCAUUGCCAUCUUAUUAAAAAAUGACUUGGACUUUGUUAUUUACCUCUUUGCAUAACAUAGUUUGUAACUAAACAUGGAUAAUAUUGUGGAAUGGUUUGCAUCUACACAUACAAUACAUAAGGAGAGAUCCAUUUACAUUGCUGCAAAUGUAAAAGCAUUCCGACAUGUUUUCCCCCUCACAAAAUCCAUCAUUGGAUUGUGAAAAAAUAAUUCAAGUAAGAAUGAAUGCUUUUAGACUAACACGGGUGGAAACAGUCCUUCCUCUCAUAUAUAUAUAUAUAUAUUGUCAAAGUACUUGUGGAGUUCCCCGGAUGUUUUCAUGCUUAAGCACCCUAGUUAGUAAUUAUUUAAUGUGAGAAACUUUUAUUUAUAAAAGUGAUGGGCUUUGUGAUAUGUGCACAUACUGAUUUUUUUUGUGAUGUGCUCAUUUUGCUUUUCUUCUUAAAGGUCUAUGGAAGUCAAGUACUUCUGCAAAAGGAGUAUGCUGUUCCUGUUCGUCACUUUGCUAAAGAGGCUGCCCCUCCCGCCCUUAAGGGAGAUAGUGAGUUCUCUUCGAGUUUUAUUGUUUAUUUUAGAGUUCCUUUACUGAGUUGAUGACUGUACUUUGUUGUUUGUCUAAUUGUUGAUCAAUUAGAAGUGAAAUAUAAUGCCAUUUGCUUCUCUAUUUGAUCCAGUAAUUGGACUUUUAGUUGUUUGUCUAACUAUGUAUCCAUGUUACUUGAGUCUGCUUUAUGUAAAAUUGAAAAAUACAUACACAAUUUGAUCUACAAUAGAAUUUCUAUUCUUUUUAUGCCACUUUCUUACAAUGUACUCUUAAUUUUAUGUAAAUAGCGAUGCUUAAGAACAUCUUUGUGGAGUUGAAGAACAAAUAUGAGACAGCAAUCGGGCUACUAAAGAAGGAGAAGAUCACCAUUGAUCCAGAAGAUCCAGCUGCUGUUUCUCAUUAUGCACAGGUCAUGAAAACAAUCAGGGAGAAGUGAGAUUCCACUAUACCUUUAGUUUUACCAGAAUAUUUUUGUUGAAUAUAUUAUCUGUUAUGUUUUGUAAACUUGCAAACAUUUGUUAUACUUUUUUAAAAUGUUUUAAUUAUGUUAUAACUACAAUUUCCUGUGCAUAUUGCAGGGCAAGCUUAUCCUCAGAGUCCCAACAUAUCCAAGAGUCCAUUGAAACUCAAACCGCAGAUAUUCCUGAUGCCCGAACUUAUCUUCUCACCCUGAAGGAAAUAAGAAUCAAGUAUGUGAUGGUCUAUUCUACUUUCUACAUUCUGUACCUAGGCAAGCUUAUUGAUAUAUUACACCCUUUUAAUUUUUAGUUUAUACUAAGUUCUGUACUAGUUUUGUGAUAUGUAAUAUAGUCUUUUCAUUUCAAUUUACCUUUUUGAGCUCAUUGUCAAACAGUACUUCAGUUUUAACACCUUUGGUUCUAAAAUUUAUCAAAUCUGUUUCUUUUCCUAAAACGUGUAACUACUCUAAAUUACUAUUGGGAUUUACCUGAUUUGUUAUCUUUUGCAAACCUUUGUGUAUAUGUGUGUUUUAUAUAUACAACCGAGAGGAAAGAAAUAAGGAUACACACAUACAUUGCUUCAAUAUGUCUCGUGCUCUCCACUUUAUGAGCUCAUGUGUUGAUUUGUACAUCCUUCACAGGAGUGGUCUUGCAGAUGAUCUUGGUGCAGAGGCUCUGAUGAUAGAGGCAUUGGAAAAAAUUGAAAAGGAUUUAAAAAAACCUCUACUGAGAAAUGACAAGAAGGGAAUGGACCUUCUACUGGCAGAGUUUGAUAAGAUUAACAAGAAGUAAGUUCAUACCUCUACAUUUCUUUUUGAUAUGUUGGGCUAGUAUUGAGUUACAUCUAGAUUGU
rnacentral:lncRNA from 1 species